rnacentral:rRNA from 1 species
AGUGAACGCUGGCGGUAGGCCUAACACAUGCAAGUCGAACGGCAGCACAGUAAGAGCUUGCUCUUACGGGUGGCGAGUGGCGGACGGGUGAGGAAUACAUCGGAAUCUACUUUUUCGUGGGGGAUAACGUAGGGAAACUUACGCUAAUACCGCAUACGCCCUACGGGUGAAAGCAGGGGAUCUUCGGACCUUGCGCGAUUGAAUGCGCCGAUGUCGGAUUAGCUAGUUGGGGGGGUAAAGGCCCACCAAGGGGACGAUCCGUAGCUGGUCUGAGAGAAUGGUCAGCCACACUGGAACUGAGACACGGUCCAGACGCCUACGGGAGGGAGCAGUGGGGAAUAUUGGACAAUGGGCGCAAGCCUGAUCCAGCCAUACCGCGUGGGUGAAGAAGGCCUUCGGGUUGUAAAGCCCUUUUGUUGGGAAAGAAAAGCAGCAGGUUAAUACCCCGCUGUUCUGACGGUACCCAAAGAAUAAGCACCGGCUAACUUCGUG